GGCCUUCUAAUUCUUACCACAGGCUGUGUUCUCUACACUGACUGUAUAGAAAGAGGAUGUACAGUAAAUGCACCCCCAAAACACCUCAACACAGCCCUUUGCCUAGUCUGUAUUGUGAACUGGGGGACAAAA